CAAACCAAACAAACAAACAAAAUCUUAAACAAAAAAAAUGCGGACUUUUUUUCCCUUACGAUUCAGGAUCCAUCUUUGUCUUGUGUAACUAGGUCAUGGCACACCCUAUGUCAGCAGUUAACAAUUUCGAAUGCCAAAAAAACCCACUGCCAGACAAAGAUCCGUAACUAUCUUGUCAAGAUCCGCUUUGACUUGCAAACUUACGAGAGAAGUGGUGAUCCAGAUCAUAUAUUUAUAGCCGUUAUUUAAAAAAAAAAACAAACGCGUUAACUUCACCUUCAGAGCUGCUUUCAACUAUGGUGCGCGGGUAAGUAAACCCUUUUGCCCUUGCAGAGAAACAUAUAGACCAGGCCUGUGCGGCUAAUGUUAUUGUCCUGGGCGGAAAAAUCCUAAUGGUCGUCUUUAGGAGCGGUGGCGAUCUCCUUCGCCUCAGAUACAUCUAACAGCGUCUCUAAAGCGUCUAUUUUUCAGGGAGGGAUUUCUUUUUCUGCACAAAGUGCUUGGUCGUCUGCAGCCCUGGGUUUUGUUUUUGGGUUUUUGGUUUUGGCUUUUUUUUUUUUUUUUUUUGCGGAGAGACGCCGUGAAUCCAUUGCAGGCGUUACGUGGCUGUUAAAUUUGAACGCACACACACAAAAAAAAAAUCUGCCUGCGAACAGUAAGAUGUUACUGAGGUUGAUUUUUUUAAAAGGCGAAAAGGCGUUGGUGGUGGUGGUAAGGAUCCCUUACAUGUUUUAUCCGUCUAAUUACUGAAGCUCGACAAAAAAAGCAACAAAAUGGGGGGGUGUUUUUCAAGACGGUGAGUCUUAAUGGCGGAUGUAUCACUAAAAAGCACUGUAAAAUCCUUCAUACCGAGAGGCAGUGACUUGGAGAGAGGGGGGAAAAAGGAGGUCUGGAAGUAAAUCCAAAAUGAGGGAGUUUCCUUCCAAGUGAGGGACCCUUUGCAGCCUGAGUUUUACAGUUGGAGAGCCGUGACGCAGUUGAUAUUCACAGCAGUUGUGCUUUAGUGCAGCCACCCAGCCCAUUAAAUGGCCUCCCCGCCGAAGUCUGGUGGUUUUAUUAUGUGAAAGCCUGCGGAAGCACCGUGUCCCGGGCGCCGGGAAGGGCGGUUGGCGGCGGGCAGGGCGCUCCCGGUCGCGCUCCAUGUUGUGUGAGAGUAGCCGCCAUCAUGGCUUCUCCUUCGGUGCCGCGUUCUCCUCAGGGCUGGGGCGGCGGCGAGGCGGGCUCUCCCCCACUGCCUGGCGGCGCUUCGCGUCCCGAUCACUGGAGGGAAAUGGCCUUUUUUUUUGUCUUCCCCCCCCCCCCCCGCCCCAGUCUCCUUUUUCCCGCCCCCCCCUUCCCCCACCACUUUGUGAGGGGUUGUGGAAGGCGAAGCCGAGGAGGGAGCGGGGCGCCUGGCAGCUUUUUCUCCCCGCGGCUGCCGCGCACAACAUGGCCGCGCCGGGGAGCGCCCUGCAGCAGCGGGAGGCAGCGCUGCGGGCGGCGGGGUUGGCGCCGCUCCAGCCCGGCCGCGGGAGGGGGGGCGGGCGCCGGCCGGGCAGGGAGGACAAAGGCAGCUCGCAUUAAUGCAGGCGAAGCCCUGGGUGCCUAUAAAUAACGCCGCCCGCCCUCGCCUUCCUCCCUUCCCCCCGCCGCAGCUUCCCGCUCGCUGGCUUUUAUAAAUGCCAAAAGAUGAAAGUAUCCUAAUGCGGGGGGG